rnacentral:rRNA from 1 species
UCGAAACCUGCAAAGCAGACCCGCGAACACGUGUUUAAACCCCGGGCGUCGAGCCGGGAAGGGACGCGAGUCCCUCCCCGUCGAGGCGCCCACGCCUUCGGGCUAACGAACCCCGGCGCGGCACGCGCCAAGGAAAACAACUGAGAAGCGGUUGCCCCCGCUGCCCCGUUCGCGGGUGCCUGCGGGGGAAAUCGACCUAUCUUGAAUGUCAAAACGACUCUCGGCAACGGAUAUCUCGGCUCUCGCAUCGAUGAAGAACGUAGCGAAAUGCGAUACUUGGUGUGAAUUGCAGAAUCCCGUGAACCAUCGAGUCUUUGAACGCAAGUUGCGCCCGAAGCCAUUAGGCCGAGGGCACGUCUGCCUGGGCGUCACGCAUCGCGUCGCCCCCUCCCCCCGUCGGGGGAUGGGGCGGAAAAUGGCAUCCCGUGCGCCCCGCGCGCGCGGCCUGCCCAAAUCCGAUCCCGCGUCGACGGAUGUCGCGACAAGUGGUGGUUGAACUCUCAACUCGCGUGCUGUCGAGACCGUCACCGUUGCACGUUCGGGCAUCGUUUUGACCCAACGGCGCCUAAUCGCGCUUUCGAG